AUCCUGUUGUGGUUCAUAAGCGUGAUAAUUGGGUUUUCACACUAAUACGUGAGAUGUGCAUUGUUAGAACAGUUUGUGGGAGGCACGUCUCACA
rnacentral:snoRNA from 10 species